UAUGAGUGGGUUAAUCCACACGGUACCUGCUUCAUAGUUUGCUGUCAGGGGAUGAAUGCAUUACGGUCAUAAAGCAGAAAGAUCGACAGUUGGCUCACAGCGUGCUCUGUCUGAGUGUUGGCUGCCAGUGACGAUCUGCGUGCUGCUUUCUGCUGACUUCCUUGACAUGCGUUCAGUUAGAAAACGGCACGGAGAAGGACACAGACGUGACUCAUAAUCCCACCUUCCAAAGUUGACCACGAUUUCUCUGCUGGUUGCUGGUGGGACAGCUACCACAGCAUGGUGUGUCAAGCGGUGCCAUAUCCACACCUGGGAUCCGAAUCGGCGAACCCUGGCCUGCCAAGAAGCGGAACGUGCAAACUUAACUGCUGCGCCACUGGGCCGGCCCCUUGUGUUCCAUAUAAUUUUGAAAAGAAUCUGUAUUUCAAAUUGUUGGCUGGUCCUUCAGAAGUUUCUCCAAGGAGCCCAUGAUGCAGCAAGCAGAAUCGUGCGGCCAUACCCCUGCAAACUCACUGAAGGUCACCUGGAGACUGAGUCAGCGGAAACUAUCUCGCCCUCGCCCACCUGCCUUCUGCUCGCGGGAGGGGCUUCCCGCCCAGCACACCCAUGGUCCCAGGCCACAACACUGCCAUCUCUGGGGCUGUCGGCAGCCUUCUUCGGGUCCCCUGUCUUUGCAGAAAUGUGCUCCAAGCUGGGACUUAAGCUGAACAGACUUCCUAUAGGAAACACACUCCAUCACACUGCUGCUCAGGUUGCUUUUAUGGACAUUUCCCCAAGAAAUAUUUCUCUCUGGAAAAAUAAAUUCACAGGAUGUAAUUAAAACCACGCUCUGUGUGUGUUGGCCUGGGCUCUUGGUAACUGCUUCACCAAAUGGGCCGGCGAAUGAAGAAAUGAAGGCAGCUUUGUUCUCGUCUGUUAACAAUGCCCUUUAUUAGUUGUGACCC
rnacentral:lncRNA from 1 species